rnacentral:rRNA from 1 species
GUGAGGAAUAUUGGUCAAUGGGCGAAAGCCUGAACCAGCCAUGUCGCGUGAAGGAUGAAGGUCCUAUGGAUUGUAAACUUCUUUUGCAGGAGGGUAAAGUGAGCUACGUGUAGUUCAUUGCAAGUACCCUGCGAAUAAGCAUCGGCUAACUCCGUGCCAGCAGCCGCGGUAAUACGGAGGAUGCGAGCGUUAUCCGGAUUUAUUGGGUUUAAAGGGUGCGUAGGCGGACUAAUUAGUCAGCGGUGAAAUUUUGCGGCUCAACCGUAAAACUGUCGUUGAAACUGUUAGUCUUGAGUGCGGUAGGGGUAGGCGGAAUGUGUGGUGUAGCGGUGAAAUGCUUAGAUAUCACACAGAACACCGAUUGCGUAGGCAGCUUACUGGAGCGCAACUGACGCUGAGGCACGAAAGCGUGGGGAUCGAACAGGAUUAGAAACCCGUGUAGUCC